rnacentral:tRNA from 1 species
GGGCCAUAGCUCAGUGGUAGAGCAUCUGCCUUGCAAGCAGGAAGUCCCGGGUUCAAUUCCCAGCAUCUCCA